rnacentral:rRNA from 1 species
AGUUUGAUCCUGGCUCAGGAUGAACGCUAGCGGCAGGCUUAAUACAUGCAAGUCGUGGGGCAGCAUGGGGUAGCAAUACCCUGAUGGCGACCGGCAAACGGGUGCGGAACACGUACGCAACCUUCCUUUAACUGGAGAAUAGCCCCUCGAAGGAGGGAUUAAUACUCCGUAACAUGAUGAUAAGGCAUCUUAUUAUUAUUAUAGCUCCGGCGGUUAAAGAUGGGCGUGCGCCUGAUUAGGUAGUUGGCGGGGUAACGGCCCACCAAGCCUGCGAUCAGUAACUGGUGUGAGAGCACGACCAGUCACACGGGCACUGAGACACGGGCCCGACUCCUACGGGAGGCAGCAGUAAGGAAUAUUGGUCAAUGGACGCAAGUCUGAACCAGCCAUGCCGCGUGGAGGAUUAAGGCCCUCUGGGUUGUAAACUCCUUUUAUCUGGGAAGAAAUCCAUAUAUUCUUAUGUGGUUGACGGUACCAGAGGAAUAAGCACCGGCUAACUCCGUGCCAGCAGCCGCGGUAAUACGGAGGGUGCAAGCGUUAUCCGGAUUCACUGGGUUUAAAGGGUGCGUAGGCGGGUAAGUAAGUCCGUGGUGAAAUCUCUGAGCUUAACUCAGAAACUGCCGUGGAUACUAUUUGCCUUGAAUAUUGUGGAGGUGAGCGGAAUAUGUCAUGUAGCGGUGAAAUGCUUAGAUAUGACAUAGAACACCAAUUGCGA